CUACGGGGGGCAGCAGUGAGGAAUUUUGCGCAAUGGGGGGAACCCUGACGCAGCAACGCCGCGUGAGUGAAGAAGGCCUUUGGGUCGUAAAGCUCUGUCAACAGGGAAGAAGUUAUUUCAUGUGAAUAGUGUGAGGUAUUGACGGUACCUGUGAAGGAAGCAUCGGCUAACUCCGUGCCAGCAGCCGCGGUAAUACGGGGGAUGCAAGCGUUAUUCGGAAUUAUUGGGCGUAAAGGGCACGCAGGCGGCCUUGUCAGUCAGAUGUGAAAGCCCGGGGCUCAACCCCGGACGUGCAUUUGAACAGCAAGGCUUGAGUACUGUAGAGGGAAGGGGAAUUCCUGGUGUAGAGGUGAAAUUCGUAGAUAUCAGGAGGAACACCGGCGGCGAAGGCGCCUUCCUGGGCCUGUACUGACGCUGAGGUGCGAAAGCGUGGGUAGCGAACAGGAUUAGAUACCCGUGUAGUC
rnacentral:rRNA from 1 species